UGCCUAGAGAACUAUGCAGAGGAGAGGGGGAAGAGGGACUCUGCCCUGGGUGGGGAAGAAAGGAGAGAAGAGAGACCAGAAUAUAAUUUAUCCUGAACUUCCUCAAGCUUUCUUCCAUCUUCCUCCAAAGAAUACUUGCUAGACAGGCUAAAAAGCCUAUCUAAUGAAAAUAAAAGAGAUCUGAGUUGGAACAGCAGAGGCAAUCUUUGUCACUCCUCCUGCCUUGUUGGCUUAAGUCAGGUAAGGCACAGGAAUCUUGGAAGCCUGAGAUGGGGAGUUUCCAAGCAGCAAGAGGACGAUCCAUACAACUGCAUCUUCCAAUGAGUCCAUGUGGUUGAAGCCUAUACUGUCCUGUAACCUGCAAGAACUGUACUUCUAAAGUUUCACCUGAAUCUGCUGGAGAAGGCAAAGAGGGAGUUACCUGCACAUGACAACGUUCCUAAAAAGAUUUGAGGGAUUUUAGUAGCCUACAACCUAAGCUGUGUUAUGAUGAUUAGAGUGCUGGACUGGACACCUAGGAUAUCUGGGUUCUAGUCCCCAUAGGCAUGAAGCUCACUGGGUUACUUUGGGCAAGUCACCCAUUCUCAAUCCUAUCUACCUCACAGGACUGUUGUUGUGAGGAUAUAUAUUAUGUAAUCUGCCUGGAGUUUCUCACAAGAAAAAAGCAAAGGUUCCGGAUCCCCUGAAGGAGGUUCCAGCUGCUUGUGGGCUACACAGCAGGAACACCAGGCACUUCAUAAUUGGUGUCCUUGCUUCACCUGCCAUUAGAGAUGCUAAAAUAGUAAUUUCCUUUACCAAAAGGUGGACUAAAUUACCUCUGAUGCUCUUUACAACUCUAUGAUUUUACGUGUUGUGCUCUAUCAAGCUACAGAACAAUUCUGGAUUUAAAACAUGCUCUGCUACUUUGGAACUUUAUCAAAUGAAAGUUCAAAAGGAAGAAGCUUCCAUUUUGUUCAUGGCACAAAAUUCAUUCUAUACCAAUACAAUCAAGCUAAAGGCUGCAAGGAACACAAAAAGGAAGAAUUGGAAAAAAUGAUCCAGAUAUUUUUUUCAGCUCUAAUAGUUUCCCAAACAUAUAGUAUAUUGGCCCUUCCAAUAGUAAAGACACCUUCCAAUAGUAAAGCUCUUCAUAACCCUUAAGCCCUUUUUAUAGGGCAGCUCUCAGAAAAGUCUAUCCAUUAAUAUUAAUUCCACAUCCUUGACUGUUUUUCUAGAAUCACAUCAGCAACUGAGGAAGCUUUGUCCUAAGUGAAGCUGUUCUACACAGAAGUUACUUCCAUACAGAAAAUUACAUAAUCCCCAUGUGCACUUUGUCGGAUGCAUGAAUGCACAUAAGCAUUAUUUUACUAGAUGUGCUGAGAGCUACUGGCAAUUGUGGAUUCUAGCUGUGCUUGUACAUGGUGUAUAUUAAUCAAAUGUGAUGAGCACAAUGCAGGAUUCAAGCAGUUUCUCUCCAAAAAAAAUGACUUCCUUAUAGAAAAUGUAUCUUGUGUGAAAUAAAGCUCAAAUUAUAUGGAAUCAUAUUAACCUAGCACAAGGAGUUCCAAGUCAACACCAAACACAGUAUUUAAACACAUAAAUAACAUCACAAGUUCUCCCUCUUCUAAUACAAUACGUAUUGAUUCUACCCUUUAAAACUGUGCAUAUAUUGAUUUGGUCCAAACAGGAGACAGACUGAGUGCAGAUGGAGAAAAAUUCCUAAUGGACACAAUCUGGUAUGUGCCUAUAGUCCAGUAUAAUUAGGGAUAGUGAAGUCAUCCCCCCACCAAAAAUAAAUAAAUAAAUAAAAAUCUCACUACCUCCAUCUGCUGCUGGCUUUAAGCACAUUGUUCAAGGCCCACCUUAACACAUCUGCUAGGCACUCCCAGAAUAAAAUCUUUUGCUUCUGCCUGAGAUUAGACUCCAAAUCAAGUAAAGUAUCUAGGGUACAGUCUGAUCCAGUUUUUCUGAAUGAUUUUCAGGUGGUACAGUUCCAAGAUUGGGCAGGUCCAUGCAACCAAUUCCAUUCUAGAACCUUACUAUUCUUGCUUAUAAAAAUUAUUAGAAAGGGACCAGUUGUCUGGGCCAGUGAGGUGAUUUACGUCUCUCUACAAAAAGGAGUGGUCUCAUGCCAUUUGAAAUAGGUGGCAGUGAAAUCACUCCUAAAGAUAUCAUCUCUGGACUUGGAACAUUAGGCUGAAGAUGGUGGCCAACCAGCUCCAAACAGUCUUCAAUGAGGAUGACUAGAUCAAUUUCAACUCAGGUUUUGGCUUGUUUUAGUACAGAAACAGCUUUAGUCACCCUGUAUGAUAUCCUUUUGGGGACAGAGAGAGAGGAAACUAUGACAACAUUGAUAUUCCUGGAUUUUUUUUUUUCGUGGCUUCCAAUACCAUUGAUCAUGGUAUCUUUCUAGAUGAUUAUCAUUCCUACUUGCAGUCUUGGCAGCAGGUGGUGCUUGAGGAAUUUUGCUCAGCUCCAUGGAUUCUUCAGCAUGGAGUUUCCCAGGGGUAGUUCUGUUCCCCAUGCUAUUCAAUACCUACAUGGAGCUUCUGCAUAUGAUCAUCUGAAAUGUGCUGAUGACAUGCAGCUCUAUUUUGCCUUUCCAUCUUCAUCAGGUGAGACUGUGGAAAUGUUCAAUCCAUGCCUGACUAUAACAGUUGAUUUGAUAAGGGCUAAUGAACAGAAGUUCAAUUCAAAGAAAACUGAGAAGCUAUUAGUGGGUGGUUCUUCUACUUUAAAGGAGCAUGCUCAUUAUUCUGAAUGAGGCUGCACUCUCCCCAAAUGAGAAUAAUAAUUUUGUGGUCCUCCUGGAGCCAUCUUUGCCACUUUAGGUUAACAUGCCUUCUGGCUUUGGCUAGCAACCUAGCUAUACCCAUAUCUGGACAGGGAUAGCCUGGUUUUAGCAAUCUAUGUGCUGGCAGCAUCCGAGUACUGUAAUACACUCUACAUGGGGCUGGCCUUGAGGACUGUUGAGAAGCUGAAACAUGUGCAAAAUACAGUAGCCAGACUAUCAACAGAGACCAGAUAUUCUGAACAUACAUCAAUUUCAGUCUGCUUGCAUUAGCUGUAUGGAUGCCUCCAACCCCAAUUCAAGAUGCUGGUUUCAACCUAGAAAGCCUUUCAUGGCUUGAGAACACAAUGCCUGACAGAGUGCCCAGACAGUAUAAUCAACAUCUGAGGCCAUCUUCUGAGUGCCAUCCCUGAGACAGACAUGGAGGGUGGCAGCAUAGGAGAGGACCUACUCAGUGGUUGCUCCUGCUUAUGGAAUGAUCUGCCCUUGAGAGUGGCUAAAGCCAAUAGUGUCAUCUUUUCUGUGCCAGACUAAGACUGCCCUCUUCUCCCACGUAUUAAACAUAUUUAAGGGUAUGUUUGGGCAUUUAUAUCACAUAUUUUUGCUAGUCAAAUUGCUUUACCUUCUAAAUUGUUUUUACAUUUUGCAUACUGGAAAAAUUGAAUGCUUUUUUAUUCCAUUUGUGAGCCAUCUUUUUGUGAAUUAUUGUGAAACACACAGAAUAUUUUUACUAUUGGAUGUACUGCAGAACAAGAGGCAAAAAUUUCCAAAAUACAUAUCACUGUAACAUCUUUAUGCUGAUUUGUAUAAAUGAGACAUUUGAAAAA